rnacentral:rRNA from 1 species
GACGAACGCUGGCGGCGUGCUUAACACAUGCAAGUCGAGCGGAAAGGCCACUUCGGUGGUACUCGAGCGGCGAACGGGUGAGUAACACGUGAGUAAUCUGCCCUUGGCUUUGGGAUAGCCACCGGAAACGGUGAUUAAUACCGGAUACGACCACUCCUGGCAUCAGGGGGUGGUGGAAAGUUUUUCGGCCAGGGAUGUGCUCGCGGCCUAUCAGCUUGAUGGUGAGGUAAUGGCUCGCCAUGGCUGAGAGGGGUGGCUGGCAUGAGAGUGUGGCAGGUCACACUGGGACUGAGACACGGCCCAGACUCCUACGGGAGGCAGCAGUGGGGAAUAUUGGACAAUGGGCGGAAGCCUGAUCCAGCAACGCCGCGUGAGGGAUGACGGCCUUCGGGUUGUAAACCUCUUUCAGCAGGGACGAAGCGCAAGUGACGGUACCUGCAGAAGAAGCACCGGCCAACUACGUGCCAGCCGCCGCAGUAAGAC